CGUGUAGGCGGAUGGGAACGUCGGUCUUUGAAAGCCCCCGGCUCAACCGGGGAAGCGGAGCCGAAACGACCGAUCUGGAGGGGCGUAGGGGGACCUGGAACUUCCGGUGGAGCGGUGAAAUGCGUUGAGAUCGGAAGGAACGCCCGUGGCGAAAGCGAGGUCCUGGACGUCUGCUGACGCUGAGACGCGAAAGCUAGGGGAGCAAACGGGAUUAGAUACCCCGGUAGUCCUAGCCGUAAACGAUGGGCACUAGGUAGAGGGCUCGCCGAUGGGCUCUCUGCCGGAGCGAAAGCGUGAAGUGCCCCGCCUGGGGAGUAUGGUCGCAAGGCUGAA
rnacentral:rRNA from 1 species